rnacentral:rRNA from 1 species
CUCGUAGGUGGCUCGUCACGUCGAAUGUGAAACCCUGAGGCUCAACCUCAGGCCUGCAUCCGAUACGGGCGAACUGGAGUGUGGUAGGGGAGACUGGAAUUCCUGGUGUAGCGGUGGAAUGCGCAGAUAUCAGGAGGAACACCAAUGGCGAAGGCAGGUCUCUGGGCCACUACUGACACUGAGGAGCGAAAGCGUGGGGAGCAAACA